rnacentral:rRNA from 1 species
ACGAACGCUGGCGGCAGGCUUAACACAUGCAAGUCGAGCGCCUCGCAAGAGGAGCGGCAGACGGGUGAGUAACGCGUGGGAAUCUACCCAUCUCUACGGAACAACUCCGGGAAACUGGAGCUAAUACCGUAUACGUCCUUCGGGAGAAAGAUUUAUCGGAGAUGGAUGAGCCCGCGUUGGAUUAGCUAGUUGGUGGGGUAAUGGCCUACCAAGGCGACGAUCCAUAGCUGGUCUGAGAGGAUGAUCAGCCACAUUGGGACUGAGACACGGCCCAAACUCCUACGGGAGGCAGCAGUGGGGAAUAUUGGACAAUGGGCGAAAGCCUGAUCCAGCCAUGCCGCGUGAGUGAUGAAGGCCCUAGGGUUGUAAAGCUCUUUCAACGGUGAAGAUAAUGACGGUAACCGUAGAAGAAGCCCCGGCUAACUUCGU